rnacentral:rRNA from 1 species
GAUGAACGCUGGCGGCGUGCCUAAUACAUGCAAGUCGAGCGAACGGACGAGAAGCUUGCUUCUCUGAUGUUAGCGGCGGACGGGUGAGUAACACGUGGAUAACCUACCUAUAAGACUGGGAUAACUUCGGGAAACCGGAGCUAAUACCGGAUAAUAUUUUGAACCGCAUGGUUCAAUGGUGAAAGACGGUCUUGCUGUCACUUAUAGAUGGAUCCGCGCUGCAUUAGCUAGUUGGUAAGGUAACGGCUUACCAAGGCAACGAUGCGUAGCCGACCUGAGAGGGUGAUCGGCCACACUGGAACUGAGACACGGUCCAGACUCCUACGGGAGGCAGCAGUAGGGAAUCUUCCGCAAUGGGCGAAAGCCUGACGGAGCAACGCCGCGUGAGUGAUGAAGGUCUUCGGAUCGUAAAACUCUGUUAUUAGGGAAGAACAUAUGUGUAAGUAACUGUGCACAUCUUGACGGUACCUAAUCAGAAAGCCACGGCUAACUACGUG